CCGAGUUUCCAACUCACAACCCAUCGUGAACAUACCGACGUUGCUUCGGCGGUCGACGCGCCCGCGCGCAGCCGCCGAAGGACCCAGACGCUCUUGUUUCCCACAGUGGUUUGCUCUGAGUGUAUCUUGAAAAUAAAUCA
rnacentral:misc_RNA from 1 species